AAGUGGUCAUCCUGAAGUUGAGGAAAUCUUGACUUCAAAAACUUUCUUUUUUCUUCAGACCCCACUGUAGUGAAGACCUCGCAUCCAUGAUGCAGGGCUACAGAAAUGGCUGCCUGUCCUACUCCACCACUACCAGAAUGAAUCAGGACUUUGUCUCCUGGAUUUAUCCUCCCUCUAAUGACCAAGGCAUAGUACACAGUAGAGUAAACAACAGGAACAGUAGCUGCCUGUUCUAAAGUCCAGUUCUCAGGAACUGACCACAGGAAUUCUGGAGUUACAUCAACAUGUGUUGCAAGCCCCUGAAAUGCAAAUCUUUAUACUUACAUUGUAUAUGGAUAGUUAGAACUAUAGUUGAUUCAUCUUAUUCAAUAAAUUGUGAUUUCUUCUUCAUGUUCAGAGAUAAAUGUUUCAAAAUUACUGUUUAAAACGUUAGCUUUACAGACUUUAUCAGCAGAUACCUUCGCUGGAACUAAGCCCGCGACUUUCUUUCCUUCAGUGUUAUAUCCUGAAAAUUCCAUUCCCAAAAUGCAAUCUUGCUGAGCUAAAUCUCCUGGAAUGGCAUCAGGUGGCAGUCUUCCAGUUGCCAACAUUACAUCUCGAAAGUUAAGAGCAGCAUAACUGACAGAACACAGGGACUUUGAACGAGAGAAUUUAAGAGGAGACUCCACCCAUUGCAGACUUGACAAAUCCCCUCUUGUCAAAACAUUAACAUAGGCAUGGGUACCAGACUUCUUUUCAAUCAUUUUAUCUGUGAAUAUGAUGAAAGGAACUAGUAAGUUGUCUGAUGCUGAACCUUGGCCAGAGCUUGCCAAGCUAGAACCAGAUACCCCGUGGCGGGAAACAACACCCUUCCAUCAAUGCAAUGCCCUUUCAGGAAGUUGUCAGGGGAAUCUGGACCAAUUGUAAACUCUGUUACAAACCCAGAAUCUCCACCAGAUCCAGCUAUCAUAUCUUCAGGAGUGGGAACAUCCCAAUCCAUAGAGUGAUUCCAUUGAGCCUGGAUUACAGGAGAAAUCAUGGGAGUUCCUCUUGGGACUGGGAAAUUCACUGCAGGGUAUAGUUUCAGGGGACUCAUUCUCACACCAUGAGUGUAACAUCUGAGAGAAAAAAUAAGAUAGCACGAAUAUCCAUCAGUUGCUUUGUGUUUAAGUACUGUGUUUUAAAAUACAUGGUAUUAUGAUACGUACUUCCCAAGUGCCAUAUAGAAAUGCUCAACAUUGUCUGUGUGACCUCUUUUCAUUAGUCCAACAUUGCAGCAGCUGGGUUUGAGAGUCCUUUUUAAGAUGGCCUGUAGCAAACAGUGUGGAGCUAUCUCAAUCACGUUAGCAUUGUCUGGAAUAUGCUUCAAUGCUUCAUAAAACAACACUGGGCUUACAAGGUUGUUGACAUGAUAUUCAGCUGAAGAAUAUUGGGCCAUGUUGCUGUCCCAACCUUCCUCUGGAAUUGAAGAACUAAUCCACUUCUUGCUCCUUGGUUUUGGUUUGAUCACCUGUAUUCCAAAUAUUUCAAUGACCAAUGCAUACCUGAUUUACUUAAGACAAAUUUGGCGCUUUAUUACUACAUGUAUAAUAUCUUUACAAAAUGAACAACAAUGAUUCCUCUUCAAGUUUGAAAUGGUGUACCAAAGUCGCUUACAUUUUGAUUAUUAUAUAUGCUUGGACUUUUGAGGAAAGUUACUGUGAACGUGGAUAUUUCCACGUGUUGUUAAGACAUAUUUCCUUUUGCAAACCAAAUACAUGUACAUAUGUUUAAUGACAUGCUGUUAGUAUCUUUAAUUAAUAAAUUGCUUAACUAUGGAAA